AGCCAAACCCCACCACCUGGGCAGCUGUGCAGGUGAGGCAGGUACCACCCUGUGGUACUGAUGAGUCACUAGGGGUUCGCCCUGGGUGGCUGGCAGGUUUAUAAUCUGCAGCUGGUUUUACAACAGAAACAACCAAAUAUGUCGUGUUUUGUUGUUGUUGUUUUAUUUUUUUUUCUGGAAAAAAAGUCCAGCGGGAAAAAAAUGUGAUUUUUUUUUUUUUUUUUGGUUUGUAUUCAACGAGCAUACUAGCUCGAGGUUUGUUUAUUGCAGCAAAUCUUGUGUUUCCAUUCAGAAGGAAGGAAUUCUUGCCUGCAGGGAGAGGGAUGUAAUCAAGGUCCAUCCUAAGAAUAUUGAAUGCCUGCUCUCACUGUGACACCAGCACGGAAAGAAAGGAGAGAAGUGCCAUGCCCUGCAGGUGAGGAAAAGCAAGGUGGACUGAGGAAGGCAGGUCCUACAGUCACAGGUGACCCCACAUUUAGGCACCUAAGCCUUAUGAGUAUCUCCAAACCAGAGUUUUGUUCUUGGGCACAAGCUGUGGGUUGGCACAAUUUCAAUUAAAGGAUAUUUUCAAAC